CAGAACAUAGUUUAUCAAAAUAUUAGCAUUGGAAGCUAGAGAUCGGUUUUACGCCGUGUUUUGA
rnacentral:tRNA from 1 species